CACGUAGGGCGCAAGCGUUGUCCGGAAUUAUUGGGCGUAAAGAGCUCGUAGGCGGUCUGUUACGUCUGCUGUGAAAACCCGGGGCUUAACCCUGGGCUUGCAGUGGAUACGGGCAGACUAGAGGCAGGUAGGGGAGAAUGGAAUUCCCGGUGUAGCGGUGAAAUGCGCAGAUAUCGGGAGGAACACCGGUGGCGAAGGCGGUUCUCUGGGCCUGACCUGACGCUGAGGAGCGAAAGCCAGGGGAGCGAACGGG
rnacentral:rRNA from 1 species